AAAAUCCGUCGAUUUUAUAAAUUGUGAGGGUUCAAGUCCCUCUAUCCCCA
rnacentral:tRNA from 2 species